UACGUAGGGGGCAAGCGUUGUCCGGAUUUAUUGGGCGUAAAGAGCGUGUAGGCGGUUUGGUAGGUCCGUUGUGAAAACUCGAGGCUCAACCUCGAGACGCCGAUGGAAACCAUCAGUCUAGAGUCCGGAAGAGGAGAGUGGAAUUCCUGGUGUAGCGGUGAAAUGCGCAGAUAUCAGGAAGAACACCCGUGGCUAAGGCGGCUCUCUAGUACGGUACUGACGCUGAGACGCGAAAGCGUGGGGAGCGAACAGG
rnacentral:rRNA from 1 species